AACGCUGGCGGCGUGCCUAACACAUGCAAGUCGAGCGCGAAAGUCUUCGGAUGUGUAGAGCGGCGCACGGGUGAGUAACACGUGGGUAAUCUGCCCUCAGGCCUGGAAUAACCAAGGGAAACUUUGGCUAAUACCGGAUAAAGCCAUAUGACGAGAGUGAUGUGGAAAAAGUAGGGGAUCUCUUCGGCCUCCGAUCGAGGAUGAGCCCGCGGUGGAUUAGCUCGUUGGUGAGGUAAUGGCUAACCAAGGCGACGAUCCAUAGCUGGUCUGAGAGGACGAUCAGCCACACUGGGACUGAGACACGGCCCAGACUCCUACGGGAGGCAGCAGUGGGGAAUCUUGCGCAAUGGGCGAAAGCCUGACGCAGCGACGCCGCGUGGGGGAAGAAGGCCUUAGGGUUGUAAACCUCUUUCAGGCGGGACGAGGCCACUCGGGUUAAUAGCCCAGAGGGUGACGGUACCGCCAGAAGAAGCCCCGGCUAACUACGUGCCAGCCGCCGCCGUAACAC
rnacentral:rRNA from 1 species